GCAAUAUUUUUGUUUUCCCCAAGUCACUGGGUCCAGGGGAUCUUUGGUCUUUUUUUUCCAUCCCUGCCUUGCUGCUUUACUCUCAGUGCCUUACCAGUGUGCGAGAUGGAUGAGGAAGCUGCUCUUGCCUUUUAUAAACCUGCACAUUCAUACCUCUCCAAAGACCAGCCUUUCCUCAUUGGGGGCCCUCAGCCUGUCCAGACCCCAGUGGCUGAGCAGCUCCAGGCUGCUCUGCCAACCAGCCCCUGGGAGAAGGGCUUUGAUAGGCCUUGGUAAGUUGGUGGGGACUGGUUCUGCUCAGGGUUUCCAUCUUCCUCGCCCUCUGUGACUGAGGAUGCUGCCAUGAGGUGGCUGUACCUGGGAACCAUGACGACUGUUCAUACAGGUUCUAGAGUCAAACAUCUAGUCCCGGUGGCCUCCUUGUGGCUUCUCUGACCAGAUGUGCCCAGCUUCUGUGGGAGCCAACAGAUCCUUGCUUUUCUCAGGAAGUAGGCCCUGAUUCAGAGCUUUGCCUGGGGUUAGAAGCUGACUCUCAGUAGAGAAGGGAAGGGGUAAUGGAGAAUGUAUUCCUCCUUUGGGUUUUGGGGUGUGCCAAGCUCUGGUGGGUGAAGGUAAUGGGGAUGGUUCGCCUCUUAUCUUUAAAGUAAGUUUUGUUCUCAUCAAUGACUUGUAAUUUCAUGAUUUAAAAAAGAUAUUCUGCAAAUCAGAUAUUUUCUCCCAAUCCAGCCUUGGUUUAUUUUAAAUUAAAUAUUAAAAAUGUCAUAUCUAUAUGAAA
rnacentral:lncRNA from 1 species